AUUUUUUAUUGGGUUUAACAUUGGUUGAUUUGAUUUAUUGAAGUAUUAUUUGGUUUUUGUAUUUUUUUUGAUUUAAUUGUUUUUUGAUAGUUUAUUUGUACUGUGAGGGGUUAGAGGGUUUGUUUUUUUGGAAGUAGGUUUUGUUUGUCGUACCUUGUGUAUCAGGGUUUAUUGAAUUUUAUUAUUUAUUUUCGUUUCCCGAUUCUUGUAGGAGUUAUUGGGUUGUGUUGCGGUUACUGUUUCAGUAGUAUCGUUAACAUUCUGUUGGUAGUGAAAUGUUAUCCGUCUUUGGGGGUUUCUGGUUUUUCAAGAAAUGAAUUUAAUUCAUGCGCUUUGUUUAAUUUUUGCUGUUGGUUUAUUUUUUUUUAUUUGGUGUUAAGAUUGCGGGGGAUUAGCUCUUCAGUUUUUUUAUAACUUUUGUUUUGUAUCUAUUCUUGUGGAUUUUAAGUUGGUUUUCUAUAUGAUUAUGUUAAAAUUUCAUUUGUUUUGUUUUUUAUUUUUAUUUGUUUAAUUAUUUAUUGGAAUGGUUUCUUUACUUUUUUUUGGUUUGUAAUUAUUGUAGAAUUAGUAAAUUUCUGUUUUGGUUUGUUUAAUGCGAUUGUUUAAUUGUUAUUUUCUUCUGAGGAAUUAGGCAAGGAUUUGGUGCUCGCCUGUUUAACAAAAACAUCGCCUCUUGUUAGUUUUUGAGGUAUGGCCUGCCCACUGAUUUUUGUUGGUUGAAGGGCCGCGGUAUUUUGACCGUGCAAAGGUAGCAUAAUCAUUAGUUCUUUAAUUGUGAUCUGGUAUGAAUGGUUCGACGAGGUGCAGUCUGUCUUAGGGUUAGUUAGGAUUUGUUGUUGAUUUUAGUUUUUGAGUUAAAAUUCUUAAAUGUUUUUAUGGGACGAGAAGACCCUAUAGAGUUUGACAUACGCUUUUUGUUUUGUAGUUGGUUUGGAUUUAAAUUUACUUUUCGGUGUGUUUUGUUGGGGUGAUGGGAAGGCUUUUUUUAACCCUUCCUUGUUGGGUUUAAUAUUUAUUAGUAGUUGUUUGAUCCUCUUUUUGUGAUUGUAAGAUUAAAUUACCUUAGGGAUAACAGCGUUAUCUUCCCUGAGAGUUCUUAUUGGCGGGGGGGUUUGCGACCUCGAUGUUGGAUUAAGGUUAAUUUCCGGUGUAGGGGCUGGUUGUGGAUUAGGUCUGUUCGACCUUUAAAAUCUUACAUGAUCUGAGUUCAGACCGGCGUGAGCCAGGUUGGUUUCUAUCUAUAAUUUUUUUAUAUGUCUUAGUACGAGAGGACCAGGCAUUUGGAAUAAUUUUGUUGUUGGUGGUUUUUAUUAACAUUGCUAUUUUGGCAGACAAGUGCGUUGGAUUUAGAAUCUAUUAA
rnacentral:rRNA from 1 species